UUUUUUUUUUGCUUUUUAGAGCCACAUGUUUGGCAUAUGGAAGUUCCCAGGCUAGGGGCUGGAUUGGAGCUAUAGCUGCUGGCCAACACCAAAUCCGAGCCACGUCUGCAACCUGCCCCACAGCUCGAGGCAAUACCAGAUCCUUAGCCCACUGAGCAAGACCAGGGAUUGAACCCGCAACCUCAUGGAUAAUAGUCAGGUUCGUUUCCUCUGAGCCACAAUGGGAACUCCCCCCAAAAUAAUUUAAAAAAUAACUACAAGAUUUAAAAGAAGCAAACAAUGUACAGAUGUUUUUAAAAGGAGAAUGAUAUCAAGAUAUAGUCAUACAUUUAAAAUAAAUCACUUUGCUAUAUAGCAGAAUUGACAGAACAUUGUAAAUCAACCAUAAUAAAAAAAUUUUCAAGUUAUAGUCAUACAUAAGCUUAAAGAAGUACCUGAUUGGUCACAAGGUAGAUCCUUGGACUAUGUCUAUUUACUAUUUAACAAAAUUUUACAGGAAAACCUCAUUUUAAGGGUUUUUUUUUUUUUUCUUCCAAGAAUAGAGAGAACUAGGUCUUAAGGUACAGACUAAAGUAAUACAGCCUCUCCCAAAACAUGUUCCUCGGGAUACCAGUCCCUGAAGAGCCUCGGCAGAAAAAGUUAUCUGCAUUCAAACAAGUUAGAGAAGUACUCCGUGUUCUCCUUGCCCUGUAGGAGAGCCCCAAGGCAUACGUUCCUGAAGGAAGUAGAGAAAAAUUUUAGAUUAACUUUGCUUCACAUCAAAAUUAUCUAACUUCAUCAGCCAAAGAAUAUUUACAUAGAGGACCGUCUUCCAAGAUCUUAGGAACUAGUUUUCUAAGGAACACGGCACAGAAAGCUUUGCUCAUCUCGAGCAGAUAUGCGAGGUUUUCUGCUUUUAUUGAUGAUGAUGUCCCAGAACCUGGAAAGAUGGGCUUCAACAUGGAACCAAUGCAUGGUUGCUAUGUGACAAUGGAAGCAAGUCUAUGACUUGAGAGCAGAGAGGAGAGACUUGAGAGCAGAGAGGAGAGACUUGAGAGCAUCAGUUGGUCCUUGAGGUGCUGGGGACCCAUCUUUAUCCUUCUCCUAAGCUUUGCCCAUGAUAACCAUCCGAGUUCCAGGCAAGGACAGCACAGCCGGUAGUAAUGACGACAGCAGCAACAACGAAAUCAGCUUUUCCGUAAACCGUUUCAGAAGUGAAUCAACCAAGUGGCAUCUGGAAGCUGGAUUCUCAUAUGGUACAUUGUAAUAUUCUGUCUCCACUGCCCCUGGUAGUUCUUGCUGUCUCUUUCACUCUUCCAGAAAGGACUGGAUCUAUAUUUCUUCUCUGUAAAAGGCGAAUGCAUGGGCUGGAGUGGCUUUUACAGGCUCCUCCAGCCUUGAAAUUUUGGAACAUUCACAAACAGUAAGAGACGCUCAUUGUGUUCUCCGGUUCGAUGCCUUUCUAGAAUUUUUUAAAUAUAUUUUAAAAUAUUUUUUUGUUAAGGUAGAAUUGAUUUACAAUGUUGUGCCAAUUUUUGCCAUAUAGCAUUGUGACCUAGUCAUACACACACAUAUAUAUAUAUAUCCAUAUGCAUUCUUAUUCUCAUAUUAUCGUCCAUCAUGUUCCAUCCCAAGAGACUGAUGUAGUUCCCUGUGCUGUAACAGGAGGACCUCGUGGCUUAUCCAUUCUACGUGUAAUAGUAAUGUGUAAGGAACUUUAUGUUAUAAAAACAUAACUAGUUUUUAUUUCUCGGUCACUACUGUAGGGAUAUUGUGUUUCCUGGUUUGGGCGAGCAAAAGGGAAUAUUGUGUACCAUCUGGGGAUUUGCAAAUGGGGUUCUUUGGCUGAAUCUUGUUGAGGGUUAUGCAAAUCUCAAAGAAAUGCAGUUUGCUUUGCCUUCAAGAGUAGGAAGUUAUAAACUGGCCACUUUCCCCUUGCACUUGACCAUCAUCAUCUUUCACAGAGAGUUCUUUUUUUUUUUUUUUUUGUAUUUUUUUAGGGCCGCACCCACAGCAUAUGGAGGUUCCCAGGCUGGGGGUCCAAACAGAGCCUUUGCCGCCGGCCUAUGCCACAGCCAUGGCCAUGCGGGAUCCAAGCCGUGUCUGUGGCCUACCCCACAGCUCAUGGCAAUGCCAGAUCCUUAACCCGCUGAGCAAGGCCAGGGAUCGAACCUGAGUUCUCAUAGAUGCUAGUCAGGUUCGUUAACCACUGAGCCACUAUGGGAACUCCUCACAGAGAAUUCUUCUACAAGGAUUUGGUUCCUUUUAUUUUGGUACUUUAAGAAAAAAAAAAAAAAAAAAAGGAGGGGGAGGGAGUGGGAUGGACCAGGAGUUUGGGGUUGGCAAAUGCAAACUAUUAUUUUAGAAUGGAUAAGCAAUGAGGUCCUACCGUGUACACAGGGAACUAUAUCCAGUGUCUGGGAUAGAUCAUGAUGGGAGUUAAUAUAAGAAAGGGAAUGUAGGAGUUCCCGUCAUGGCACAGGGGAAACAAAUCCGACUAGGAACCAUGAGGUUGCGUGUUUGACCCCUGGCCUCGCUCAGUGGGUUAAGGAUCCGGCGUUGCUGUGAGCUUUGGUGUAGGUCACAGUUGCGGCUUGGAUCUGGUGUGGCUGUGGCUCUGGUGUAGGCCGGCAGCUACAGCUCCAAUUGGACCCCUCGCCUGGAAACCUACAUAAGCCGAGAGUGCAGCCUUGAAUAGACAAAAAGACCAAAAAAAAAAAAAAGAAAGGGAAUGUAUAUAUAUGACUGGGUCACUUUGCUGUACAGCAGAAAUUGGCAGCCUUGUAAAUCAACUAUUCUUUAAUUAAAAAAAAAAAUAAAUUAAAAACAAUUUUACAAAGAAAAAAAUGAUUACGCACCAUGCCCUAGAAACCUAUUCUCCUCUUUCUGGAUUUUUUAAAGCACGUUACAAUUGUACUAAGAGUCAAAAACGGUCCUGGAGGUGGAGACUUGUCAAAUGCUACUGGGAGCAGAGGGUCCAUCUCCUUCUCCUAAGAAGCUCAAUCUAAUCUUCCAGAAGGAAGUGCUCAUUUCAAUAAAACUCAGAGAGAAAUUGCACUUUCGGUUUCAUGCAAGAAUGCUGGACCUGAUCGUCCCAAUGUUUUUCCACUCCGCUAUAGAAAAAUCUAGAUGCAAUCAAGGAGGGGUCCAGGGCGGCUUGUGCCCAUGCUGACCAAGGGGUCAGGUGAUUUCCGGUCAUGAGCUGCUACUGGCAUGAAACAUGAUCAAGUCAGAAAUUUGACAGGUGCAAGUAAAGAGGCCAAGGUGACAUUCAAAAACUUUAUCUUGGACUCCCCAUGAGGAAGACUCACUGGUCUGUGAUUUGGGAAGUCCUGCCAUGUUGUGUAUUUAAGAUACUUUUAGGCUUUUCUGGAAAAGUUCCUGCCAAUCUGACUGAGUUCCCAUCUGUCUCCAGGAAUGUGGGCAACUCCAAACACCCUAAAGGGUAGAUAUGCUCAUUAAACCCAGGAUGGCCUUGCCAGCCUUGCUGGCUUUUUUCUUUAUCCGGCCAUGCCUAAGGGGAAGAGAAGCAUCUCCAGGGAGUUAGACCCGAAGCAUUUGCAGUGCUCGGGGUGCCCUGUUGCUUUUCUCUUUAGGACCCUAGAAGAAACAAGAAACAAACCAAAAACCAAAAACACAGGAUCGGAAAGCCGAGGGGAUGUUCUGGGACGAAUAAAUUUUCCGUUUCAUUCCCCCUAAAGUGCUGACUCUCCAAGAGUUCCAGAUGGUUCCUGAUACUGGGACACCAGAGUUCCUUCUCGCCCAGUUAUUCUCUUUCAGACUUGGACUCUUAACACUUGGCUGGCAUCGGGGAUGAGUCAGGCAUCGCACAGAGGGUAAGAGGAGUCCCAUCCAAGAGUAGGGCACUGCAGCGCUUUCCCUAAAUGAAAAUCGUGGUGGUUGCUGGGCCCUGUGAGAAUCUGAAUUCCCAACUCUCACUAUGAAGAUCCUCCUGCUCCGUCUUAGAGCUUUCAGUCUUUUCUCACCACCUGCCUGCUUUCAUUUCCUGACCCAAUCUUUUCCUUUUUUUGCUUUUUAGGGCCGCACCUGCGGCAUAUGGAAGUUCCCAGGCUAAGGGUGGAAUCGGAGCUGCAGCUGCCAGCCUACACCACAGCCACAGCAAUGCCAGAUCUGAGCCAAAUCUAAGACGUAUGCUGCAGCUUGCGGCAAUGCUGGAUCCUUAACCCACUGAGCGAGGUCAGGGAUUGAACCCCCAUCUGUAAGGGUUUGUAAGCUGCUGAGCCACAGCGGGAACUUCUGACCCUUAAUGCACAACCCCCAACCCCAGCGCAGGCAAACUAAGGAAACAAAUUCUAGCAACAGUCAAGUGUAUCAUUGGUGAUUUCUCCUUCCCAGCGGACAUUUAUGGUCAAUACAGAACCUAAGGUUUUCUUCGUUUCUGCCCUCCUUGGAUGUAGCUUCUUUGCCUUAUUGAUGGGUUCGAAAUAUUUACAAAAUAAAAAUAAAAGUUUAGGCGAGGAGAAAUAGCGCCCUCUGCAGGGCAAAUGAAUCUCGGACUUUUAUAGAAGAUUGUUUCCAAGCAAAGAACGUCUUUUUUUUUUUUUUUUUUUUAAUGGAGCAGGCAUGCUUUUCUUCUUUUAUAUUGAGGUUAAUGCUGCUGGUGGGCAAUACUGUUUCUCCCAAUUCAUUCAAUCCGCAUCACAAUCUUGUAAGGAAAUUGAAGCGGGCACUUAGGGAACUGGCCAGGGCCUCCUGGCCCAUCAUUUCCAAAGAACAGUAGGUCUCUUUGGGCCCAAGCCCAUGCUUUUUCACUCCAUCUUCCAAAGUGGACACUACAAAGAGUCAUGCAGGAGGCACACUGUGACUGGGGGGGGCGGGGAGCACUGUGUUUUUGCAGCCCUGCUUCUAAAUUAGGGUCUAUGAUUGGCAGUUGAUAAAAACUGCACUAUAACAAGACUCUCUACCUCUGCUCUUACUCUCCUUCAAGCCGUUCAGAUAAGCCCUUUCCAAGGAAUCUUGCUACAACACAAGUCUGUGCUUCUCAUAAGCCAUAGAAUUCAGGCCAAGCCGCUUGACCUCAAAUCAUGAAGCCCUCUGCAUUCUGGCAUAAACCUAACACUCCUGGCGUCACUUCCCAAACUCCCAGCCCCACCACUAAGGCAAAUGGGAAUCUUGCCAUUCGCUAAGCGUGCAGUUACACCUUUCUGGCUUUGAGCAAAUGCCAAGUAUCCUCUUCUUUGCCCUCUUCCCUUCCGUUUCUUUUCAGGAUGACUUCAGAUACCAAGGGUCCAUUCUUGUGGUCCCUGGAACCCUGGAGUCAGAUUCCAUUCACCCCAGCUCUGC
rnacentral:lncRNA from 1 species